rnacentral:rRNA from 1 species
GACGAACGCUGGCGGCGUGCUUAACACAUGCAAGUCGAACGGAAAGGCCCUGCUUUUGUGGGGUGCUCGAGUGGCGAACGGGUGAGUAACACGUGAGUAACCUGCCCUUGACUUUGGGAUAACUUCAGGAAACUGGGGCUAAUACCGGAUAGGAGCUCCUGCUGCAUGGUGGGGGUUGGAAAGUUUCGGCGGUUGGGGAUGGACUCGCGGCUUAUCAGCUUGUUGGUGGGGUAGUGGCUUACCAAGGCUUUGACGGGUAGCCGGCCUGAGAGGGUGACCGGCCACAUUGGGACUGAGAGACGGCCCAGACUCCUACGGGAGGCAACAGUGGGGAAUAUUGCACAGUGGGCGGGAGCCUGAUGCAGCAACGCCGCGUGCGGGAUGACGGCCUUCGGGUUGUAAACCGCUUUCGCCUGUGACGAAGCGUGAGUGACGGUAAUGGGUAAAGAAGCACCGGCUAACUACGUG